CUAUCUGAUCCGGGCUUGGUUAGGU
rnacentral:piRNA from 1 species